rnacentral:lncRNA from 1 species
AAAACGCGUUUUGUUUGAAUUUUGACACUGCAUUUUUCCAUUCCACUCAUUGCCGUUGUAUAUAUACGCGUGGAAUGAUUUAACUACACAUUCUUAGCUUGCAUUUCCUUCUCCAGAGCCCUCCCUUUCCUUCUUCGCUUUACUGCAUUUUGCAUUUUCAAUAGAACAAAUAUAUACAUACAUACGGGGAAAAAGUUUCGAUCCUUUCAAGAACCAUUUUUUUUCUCUCUCUAGAAAAAAUGGUUCUUGCAAGAUUCGGGUUAAUCAAGAACGUUG